GAUGAACGCUGGCGGCGUGCCUAACACAUGCAAGUCGAGCGAAGCGGGGACGGGUGAGUAACACGUGGAUAACCCCCUAUAAGACUGGGAUAAAUUCGGGAAACCGGAGCUCAACCGGAUACUUAUACAUGGAUCCGCGCUGCAUUGGCGAGUUGGUAAGGUAACGGCUUACCAAGGCAACGAUGGAUAGCCGACCUGAGAGGGUGAUCGGCCAAACGGGAACGGAGACACGGUCCAGACUCCUACGGAAGGAAGCAGUGGGGAAUCUUCCGCAAGGGGCGAAAGCCUGACGGAGCAACGCCGCGUGGGUGAUGAAGGUCUUCGGAUCGUAAAACUCUGUUAUUAGGGAGGCGGUACCUAAACAGAAAGCCACGGCUAACUACGUGCCAGCAGCCGCGGUAAUAC
rnacentral:rRNA from 1 species